rnacentral:rRNA from 1 species
AGUCGAGCGGAUGAGUGAGCUUGCUCAUGGAUUCAGCGGCGGACGGGUGAGUAAUGCCUAGGAAUCUGCCUGGUAGUGGGGGACAACGUUUCGAAAGGAACGCUAAUACCGCAUACGUCCUACGGGAGAAAGCAGGGGACCUUCGGGCCUUGCGCUAUCAGAUGAGCCUAGGUCGGAUUAGCUAGUUGGUGAGGUAAUGGCUCACCAAGGCUACGAUCCGUAACUGGUCUGAGAGGAUGAUCAGUCACACUGGAACUGAGACACGGUCCAGACUCCUACGGGAGGCAGCAGUGGGGAAUAUUGGACAAUGGGCGAAAGCCUGAUCCAGCCAUGCCGCGUGUGUGAAGAAGGUCUUCGGAUUGUAAAGCACUUUAAGUUGGGAGGAAGGGUUGUAGAUUAAUACUCUGCAAUUUUGACGUUACCGACAGAAUAAGCACCGGCUAACUCUGUGCCAGCAGCCGCGGUAAUACAGAGGGUGCAAGCGUUAAUCGGAAUUACU